AUAAUAAUUUGCUGGAUAAAAUCUCUUCACGUGCGUUCUUCCAUUUGCACUUCUUAAAAAGCUUAGUUUUACAAGGGAAUCCUAUUAGAGAAAUCGGCCCGUACGCCUUUUAUCCGUCUUUCAAUUUUUCAACCUUGGACAUUCACCUUAUAAAUGAAACAUUUCUCUGCUGUUCAAGAACUUAUUAUGGUUAUGUUAUUAACUUUUCGAAUUCUUUUUGUACGCAUAAAAACAAAGU